GACGAACGCUGGCGGCGUGCUUAACACAUGCAAGUCGAGCGGAGCGGCGAACGGGGGAGUAACGCGUGAGUAACUGCCCCCCUCUCUGGGGUAACAGUUGGAAACGGCUGCUAAUACCGGAUAGUGGGGGAUGACUCGCGUCCUAUCAGCUUGUUGGGGGGGUAGUGGCCUAUCACGGCGACGACGGGUAGCCGGCCUGAGAGGGCAACCGGGAACAUUGGGCUGGGAUACGGCCCAACCUCCUACUGGAGGCAGCAGUGGGGAAUAUUGCACAAUGUGGGAAACGCGGAUGCAGAAACGCCGCGUGCGGGAUGACGGCCUUCGGGUUGUAAACCGCUUUCAGCCAUGACGCGGUAGUGGCAGAAGAAGCACCGGCUAACUACGUGCCAGCAGCCGCGGUAAUAC
rnacentral:rRNA from 1 species